rnacentral:rRNA from 1 species
CCCUUAGAUGUUCUGGGCCGCACGCGCGCUACACUGACGAAUGCAACGAGCUUAUAACCUUGUCCGAAAGGUCUGGGUAAUCUCCAAAUUUCGUCGUGAUGGGGAUAGAUUAUUGCAAUUAUUAAUCUUCAACGAGGAAUGCCUAGUAAGCGCAAGUCAUCAGCUUGCGUUGAUUACGUCCCUGCCCUUUGUACACACCGCCCGUCGCUCCUACCGAUUGAAUGGUCCGGUGAAGCGUUCGGACCGUGGCCUUUGGACGGUUCGCCGUCUGUUGGCUGCGGGAAGUUCGUUAAACCUUAUCAUUUAGAGGAAGGAGAAGUCGUANCA